GUAAUGGUGUCUUUAGACACCACCCUUUAUCUUCAAAAUUGUUGU
rfam:Picea glauca, whole genome shotgun sequence.